rnacentral:rRNA from 1 species
UGGGGACUCUAAACAGACUGCCUGUGCAAACAGAGAGGAAGGUGGGGACGACGUCAAGUCAUCAUGGCCCUUACGUCCGGGGCUACACACGUGCUACAAUGGAUGGUACAGCGGGCAGCUACAUAGCAAUAUGAUGCUAAUCUCUAAAAGCCAUUCACAGUUCGGAUUGGGGUCUGCAACUCGACCCCAUGAAGUUGGAUUCGCUAGUAAUCGCGUAUCAGCAAUGACGCGGUGAAUACGUUCCCGGGCCUUGUACACACCGCCCGUCAAGCCAUGAAAGUUGGGGGUACCUAAAGCAUGUUACCGCAAGGAGCGUGUUAGGGUAAAACCGAUAAUUGGGGCUAAGUCGUAACAAGGUAGCCGUACCGGAAGGUGCGGCUGGAAUACCUCCUUUCUAGAG